UACGAAGGGGACUAGCGUUGUUCGGAAUCACUGGGCGUAAAGCGCACGUAGUCGGCUUUGCAAGUCGGUUGUGAAAUCCCCGGGCUCAACCUGGGAACUGCAUCCGAGACUGCAUUGCUAGAGUAUGGGAGAGGAAAGCGGAAUUUCUGGUGUAGCAGUGAAAUGCGUAGAUAUCAGAAGGAACAUCAGUGGCGAAGGCGGCUUUCUGGACCAAUACUGACGAUCAGGUGCGAAAGCGUGGGGAGCAAACAGG
rnacentral:rRNA from 1 species